UUAAUUGAAACCAAAAAGAGGUAUGUCACUGUUAAUGAUAUAAUUGAGUUUUAUUCUCCAAUUAAG
rnacentral:tRNA from 1 species